rnacentral:lncRNA from 1 species
UUUUCUCUCUCUCUUUUUCUUUUUUUGGUUAAUUCUGUCUAGAGUAUAAUGUGGUUAGCUUUAGUAAAAACACCCUGGGCCAGGUCCCUGCAGCCUGCUUCUAGUGAGGCAAACGGGGAGCAGCCAGGGAGCCUCUGCAUUCCAUUUCUAGAGCAGGGGGUCAGACCCCACCUCAGCAAAGAGAGAGGAUGGGACAGGAAGAGUCUGUGCCCUCAUUUUGGGGACCCCUCCCAUCUCUUUCUUUCUGACCCUGCCACUCUUUUAGGGCAAACCUCCAAAAGGAAGGGGCCUUCCCCAGGUUGCUGUUCUUUUCAAGGGAGUGGAGAGAGAGAAACUGAUUCUAGCCUCCUUGGUGGGGAGGUGAGAGCUCUGUUCCAGGCUUCUUUUGAGGGUCUCACGGGGCCCUGCCAGCUCCAGGACACAUGCCUCCUCCCAGGAGUGUGUCUGCCUGUCAAGAGGCCAGGUCAGAGCCUGCAGCAAAGACAAGCUGGGUGGGGUGGGGACCAUGUAUAAUCUCAGCACUCUGAGAGGCUGAGGCAGGAGAAUUGAAAGUUUGAGUCCAUCCUGGACCCCUUAGUAAAAAUAAUAAGGGGAGGGGGGGCUGGGGAUUUAGCUCAGUGGUUCUACCUCCUGCCUGGCAAGUGCAAGGAUCUGAGUUUGAUCCCUGGUACCGAAAAACAAAUAAUAAUAAUAAUAAUCAGCUGGGGAUUUAGCUCAGUGGUUCCACCACCUGCCUGGAAAACGCAAGGUCCCGACUUCGAUCCCUGGUACCAAAAAAGAAAAAAAAAUGGCCAGGGAUUUAGCUUGACACCUGCCUCACAAGCACAAGGUCCUGAGUUUGAUCCCCAGCACCAAAAAAAGCAAGUACAUUAAAAAAUAAUAAUAAUAAAGGGCUAGGGACCUAGUGUGAAGGCCCUGGGAUCAAGCCCUGCUUCCAAAAAGGAGGGGGCUGUUGAGGCAACCUGCAAAGGUCCUAAAGGCCCCGAUGCCUGGCCCUGCAGGCUAGCAGACAAGCCUCUGCUAGAGAUCCUACAGCAGGGCAAGGUAGGGCCUGAACAAAGAGGGACCAACGAGUGAGGAAAAGGCCCAUGGAGAAGAGGACUGUGAAACUCACUGUGGACUGUGCCCCACAGAGCCUGGCACAUAGUAGGCCUUGGUCCAUGGCUGCUGAAUAAUAGAUAGAGGAUUAGGAAAACAGGAGCAAGGACUCACUGAGGCCCUGUUCCAUGCCAGGAAGGCACUUUACAUCCACUUUGUUACACAAACUCCCAAACCCCAAGAGGAAGGUAGCAUUAACCCCACUUUUUUCUCUAAUUGGGAUUGAACCCAGGGCCUUUGCACUGACUUAUGUCCUCAGCCUUUUUAAAUUUUUUAUUUUGAGGUAGGGUCUUUUUAAGUUGCAAAAUUGCCCAGGCUGGGCUCAAACUUGCAAACUUCCUGCCUCAGCCUCCUAGAGUACUGGGAUUACAGGCAUCCCUCACUUAAUCCUACUUUUCAGAUGAUGAAACUGAGGGCCACAGAAUUAAAAAGCCUGUGCCCAAGGUCAAGUCAGUGGCAAGUGGUAAAGCAGAAUGUGUUCCAGCCUUUCUGGCUCCAGAGCUCUUGCUUGGCUUAAUCUGCAGGGGUGGAAGGAAAACCUAAGCUGACCAACAAUAAGGUGAGGAGGAACCAAGCAAGGACCAGAGUCCUUGAGUUUGAUUCCCAGUACCAAAAAAAAAAACCAAAAAAAACAAAACAGGGCCGGGGAUUUAGCUCAGUGGUUU